CUUACUGACGUCAGGACGCUUACAGUUUUCAACCGUAUUUGCUUGAGUCGUGUGAUGUAUGCCGACUCGUACCACUUGUUUUCAACGCCUCGACCUCGUGGGACGAGGAUGAAGUGUAUGUUAUCGACGACAAAGUGAACGUCACGUGCACCGAAAAUAGCGUUUUUUCGCUAGGAAAUGAUCGUAGGGAAAUACUGUGCACAGAGUUUGGAUGGGAAGUGGCUCCAGAUUGUCACAAAGCUUGCACCAAAGACCCACCUGAAGCCGGAAGUAACAUGACGAUGCUAAACUUCAGUUCCAAUUUCAUCGGCGAUGAAGUUACGUACGUGUGUGAGCCUGGAUUCUUCAUCCCAAGCGUGAGUUAGCCUAAGUAUCCACUCAUUUUGAAAACGGAGAAAAUAUCAUAAGU
rnacentral:lncRNA from 1 species